GGAUUUACUACUGGAGAUAUAACACAAAAGGGGUUUGAUGCAAGGCAGGCGACCAUUCGUAAAACUUAUGCCAAAUCCCUAUGUAACAUGAUAAGAGGACAUGCUGCGUCGAUCCCACAUAAUGUAGGAUAAGGGCAAACAGAGAAAAGGCAAUAAUAUACAUGUCCGAGAUAUAGAAAUAUCUCCCGUCACAUUAUUCGGGUCGUGCGCUGUUUGUGAAGGAUUCCAAAUGGCCUCAUAUUAAUGUCUGUCCACGUCAUAGGACACUGACGUAUACAAACGGUAUGCAUUCAUUUGUGUAACGGACGUGACGUCAGCUGUCAUGCCCUGCCGCCAGCCAAGCCGCCAAGCCAUGUUAACACGCCCCCUUCCGCCACUGCCGCUAGCCAAAGCCAACGAA